ACUUCAGUUGCAGACCUUCAGUUACUUCAGUUGCAGACCUAGGACACCAAGGGGCCAAAUCCAAUUCUUAUACCAGAUUCCCUUUUACCACCAGGCUACCUGUCAUGGCAAUGGUUUGGCAAGAUAUCUGUCUAUAUUAAAUGAAUGCUCUUUGGGGAAGUGUAUUUGAUUGCUAAAGUGGGAUGGUUGGGAGAAUUAUACCAACAUAGAAAGGAAAAUUUGUUGCUCUUAAAUGACAGACCUUGAGAGCUUCCCUAAACCCCAGUGUUAAAUGACACCUCAUUGGCUAUGGUAAUGGUGUCCACAAGCAACAUUCCCUACCAGGAGGCUGAUGCAGAUCCAGUGGCGAAACAUCUUGGAAGGUUAGACAAGAUAUCAAGGCAUGAAACUCCCAAGUACUGCAUCAUUGACAACUGAAAUUGCCUAAGUGUGAGAUCAUACUUCUGCCUGAAAACUUGCAAGAAUAUCUUUGGCAUGAGUGUCAGUGGGAUGACCAGAUAAAAUGGAGCCAAUGAGAUCAGAAAAUGAUCAAAAUUUGGCAAAAUGGGAAGCAAGAAGCAAUUUGCAAACAGGGAAAUCAAACAGUGCCACAUCAAAAUAAGAGGGAAGGAAAUCCAGCAGCUAAGCAGGCCACACAGUUCCCAGACAGAGGUAAACUUCUUUUCUGGCUGAAGCCCUGGUUACGGGAAACAGUGUCUUCUGAAACGACCAGUUUUGUGCAAAGUAUGAUGCGUGAAUAACAGACAGUAGGAAGGACAAUGAAAACAGCACGAGAGAUGAAGCGACUGAAUGUCAUCAGAAUUGUGCCCAUUUCUCCAAACUUUUGGGCUGAUGUGCACCAAGCACAGUGCCUGACGAAGUACACACUCAGUGACUAGUGAAUGGAUGACUGAAUGAAAGAGUGAAGAAGUGAGACUUCCCAACAACUCCAUACAGAACUGGACCAACUGCUUCCACAGCUCAUCUUGGUCAAGUCUGAUUCCCAUAGGUGGCAUGACCGAUGGAGAUGCCCCUGGCAUCAGUGCCUCCUCUUUCCCUUUGGUCCAGGUCACACUUUCAAUUCAAGGUUCCUAAAUGCUGAUAUUAUUUUACUGUUAUAAAAUUUAGGAGAAUAUGAAAAAAAUACAUUUUCUUCAUAAUAUUAUAGAUUAAUUUCCUCAAUUUUAUGCCACUAUGGUGGCCUGAUCUUAAAUUUUCCAUACAGGUCUACUUGAAAAUUUACUCUAGGGUUCCUUUGUGAUCUCAUUCAACCUGCCGGACCAUCCUAGCUCUACAGUUUGCACCCCCAACAUCAUACUCUGAAACCCUCUCAUCCUUGUGCUAGCUUUAUUUGUAGUCAGAGUAGUUUGUGGUCUAUAUUUUAGCGCAAGGGAAACUCUACUAUCCAUUUUCUAAGGCACAAGUUGAUCUUAUGCUUAAGAGUCCAGCACAAAGAAGCAUUUCUCUGCAUUGACUUUCCCUUUUCAUGAGCUCUUCAAUAAAAUGGGUUAACAAAUG